GCGCCGAAAAUGUAACGGGGCUAAACACAUUACCGAAAUUGUGGAUCCGACCUUUGGGUCGGGUGAUAGGAGAGCGUUCUAAGGGCGAAGAAGCCAGACCGCAAGGACUGGUGGAGCGCUUAGAAGUGAGAAUGCCGGUAUGAGUAGCGCAAGGUCAGUGAGAAUCUGACCCACCGUAUGACUAAGGUUUCCUGGGGAAGGCUCGUCCUCCCAGGGUUAGUCGGGACCUAAGCUGAGGCCAAGAGGCGUAAGCGAUGGCUAACAGGUGGAGAUUCCUGUACUGGUCAGAUCUGUUUGAGUGAUGGAGGGACGCAGGAGGCUAACGGAGCGUGCAGCUGGAAUUGCACGUCCAAGCAGCGAGUCGCAAAACGAGUGAAAGGCUUGUUUUGGUGGUAGAUGAGCUGUGAUGGGGAGCGAAAUUUAAGUAGCGAAGGAAGUCAGGUCACACUGCCGAGAAAAGCUUCUAGCGAAGAUCUGAUCACCCGUACCGCAAACCGACACAGGUAGUCGAGGAGAGUAUCCUCAGGUGAGCGAGUGAACUCUCGUUAAGGAACUCGGCAAAAUGACCCCGUAACUUCGGGAGAAGGGGUGCUGGUCGACAGACCAGCCGCAGUGAAUAGGCCCAGGCGACUGUUUAUCAAAAACACAGGUUUCUGCAAAAUCGUAAGAUGAUGUAUAGGGGCUGACGCCUGCCCGGUGCUGGAAGGUUAAGAGGAUGAGUCAGCUUCGGCAAAGCUCAAAAUCGAAGCCCCAGUAAACGGCGGCCGUAACUAUAACGGUCCUAAGGUAGCGAAAUUCCUUGUCGGGUAAGUUCCGACCCGCACGAAAGGCGUAACGAUCUGGGCACUGUCUCAACGAGAGACUCGGUGAAAUUAUAAUACCUGUGAAGAUGCAGGUUACCCGCGACAGGACGGAAAGACCCCAUGGAGCUUUACUGUAGCUUGAUAUUGGGUGUUCGUGCAACUUGUACAGGAUAGGUAGGAGCCGUGGAAGACGGGACGCUAGUCUCGUCGGAGGCACAGGUGGGAUACUACCCUCGUUGUAUGAACACUCUAACCCGCACCGGUGAUCCCGGUGGGAGACAGUGUCUGGUUGGCAGUUUGACUGGGGCGGUCGCCUCCCAAAAGGUAACGGAGGCGCCCAAAGGUUCCCUCAGAAUGGUUGGAAAUCAUUCCUAGAGUGUAAAGGCAGAAGGGAGCUUGACUGUGAGACUGACAAGUCGAGCAGGGACGAAAGUCGGGCUUAGUGAUCCGGUGGUUCCGUAUGGAAGGGCCAUCGCUCAACGGAUAAAAGCUACCCUGGGGAUAACAGGCUUAUCUCCCCCAAGAGUCCACAUCGACGGGGAGGUUUGGCACCUCGAUGUCGGCUCAUCGCAUCCUGGGGCUGUAGUCGGUCCCAAGGGUUGGGCUGUUCGCCCAUUAAAGCGGUACGCGAGCUGGGUUCAGAACGUCGUGAGACAGUUCGGUCCCUAUCCGUCGCGGGCGUAGGAAAUUUGCGAGGAUCUGUCCUUAGUACGAGAGGACCGGGAUGGACACACCGCUGGUGUACCAGUUGUCUUGCCCAAGGCAGCGCUGGGUAGCUAAGUGUGGCUGAGAUAAACGCUGAAAGCAUCUAAGUGCGAAACUCACCUCAAGAUUAGAUUUCCCAUUCCU
rnacentral:rRNA from 1 species